rnacentral:lncRNA from 1 species
CCCCUCCUCUUCCUUCCGAGGCAGCGGCGAUGGAGAACGUAGUCUGUGCCCUCCACCCCCGGACGCCUGCACCUCCCCGAUCUCGGCUCACAAGGUCCAGGUGACUCAGGCUGGUCCCCGAAGUGGACGCCUGACCGAACGGGAUGGAAGGGUGCUUCGCUGUGCAAGGGCUCGCACGCCGGGUGCUCUCUCUCCUUGUCUAAUCAGCUGCCUUCGCGGGAAUGCUUAACGUCUCCAACUCAGCGUGGACUCUACAGAUUCUAGAACAUUUUUCUUCGUGUCCAUACUGAAUGGCUUAGGACAAGGGAGCGUGUGGCUAAACCGCGUUGACCCUGCUUGUGUUCUAUUCUGGAGAUUAAAUUUACACGGGUAGGAGAGGCGAUCUGCUAAAAAUAGCCCGCCGAAAGUAAA